CGGGAGGCGGAGCUUGCAGUGAGCUGAGAUCUGGCCACUGCACUCCAGCCUUGGCGGCAGAGCGAGACUCUGUCUCAAAAAAAAAAAAAAAAAAAAAGAAUAAAUUAUAUUCCAGUUGUUGCAAUGGGCAUUGAGGACACACUGGUGAACAAAAAGUUUUAGAGGAACUGAAAGAGCACAGCCUUAUUAAAGUCAUAAAAGUAAAGCCAUGAAGUUUAAAGUAAGCCAUACCUUAUUUUAGAGGAAAAACACCACUAGAUGACUUCAGAUAGCAGAGUUAACUGAAAGAAACAAUGUUGGGGGAGAGACAACGGACAGGAAACAAUUGGGGUAGUGUCGAUAGGAAACACUGGCAGUAGCCACCAUCAACAGCACUCAAAACAGAUGAAAUGGCACCUAGGAAGUUGACGAGGCAGGAAGGAGCUCGGUGCUUUCACGGGGAGAGGGGAGGCCCGCGCGGCUGGCUUGUAGCCACAGGUGAGACUGGGCUCAGGGCCAGGGCGACUUCUUCCACUACCGCGUGAUUACAAUAUAAAGUAACCAGUGAUUGGCUAUCUCCCAUUCUUCCCCCGUGAUUGGCUAUCUCCCGUUCUCCCCCUGCCCGAAUUCCUAGAACAGCGAGACAGCUGGGAAAGAACAGACCUAGGAGGAGUCUCUGCACCUCCAAUCUCCCGGAAUAAUCAGGCAAAGCAAUGGACUCCAGCUUUUCCAGGAAGUUCCAGCUCCCCUGCGACCAGGUCCUCUCCGAUCGCUAUUUAACAGCUCCCACCAGGUGGCGCCAGAACACCGCGAGGCCUGGAACUCCGGGCAGUCUCGCGGUGCAUCCUCACCUCAGCCAUUUAAAUCUAGCAGUAAUGGGGUCCCAUAUCUCACGCAAUUGAAAUUUUAGACUCCACUUACUGCGUUAUGAUAGUCUGAAUUUCCUUGAAUCUCACAGUUGCCCUGCGAAGAAUGUAAUGAUAUUUCCAUUGUACUGAUGAGAAGUGGUUUCAGGACGGUUAAACAGUUAAAUAUCGUGGCCAAGGGAACUAACCUACUGAGGAGCUGGGAUUCCAACCACAGGUAUUCUGAUUUCACCUUUGGCGUUCCUUCCUCUAAGCCUAACUCCCAAUCUAGAGUACGGGCUGGAGGAGACACCCUUGCUUUGACACGGGAGCUCAAGCCAUACCCAGAGACAGUGUGGACAUGGCGGUUCCCAGAAAGCAGACCAGGAGGAGAGGGAGGUACCUGGAGGAAGGAUGCUGAGCCAGAGAAGACAGCAAACAUGACAGAGACCGUACAUGGCUGUAAGACAUUGUUUGUGAAUUUAAGACAUUUCCUGCUGCAUUCUUUUCACAUUUUUCCCUUGGGGUAGGGGACUGAGGGGAAAUAUACCUACCAGUGGCUCAUUAUAGGGGAAAAUUUCUGUAGAAUUUAAGGUUUGAUGUUGAAAAACAAUUGUGUACAUUUGCGUACUAUUAUAUUGUACUGCCACAAUUUUAGCAAUUCAAAAUAUUGAUUGAAAUUACUUAUUCUUUUCCACAAAUCUUGAACUAAAAUGGAUUUUCCAAGAAAAUGCAUUAUGAAUCUCUCAAUAUGCCACCACAUACCUCCUAUGGUAUAUGUACCCUCAUCUAAAAAAUAGAACUCCAUGGGGAUGCCAAACCCCAUGGGGAGGGACUUUGUGGAGAUUUGGAGGUCCUACAGUUGCAAGUGGUGGUAAAAGCCAGAAAAAUGCAGAUAACAGGAGGAUAACUUUUUGCUCAUAGGGUAGACUAUGAUUAGACAUUUUUGGUGGAGAUAUUUAUUUAUACCGGACAAUGGGAGACAACCCGAGCCUGUCAUAGCAGGGCUAGCAGGGACCAUUUUGUCACAUGGCACAGAAACUCACAGAAACUAGAAGUUAGGAUAGUGGUGGUGCUGGUAGUUUUGGUGGUAGUCAUAGGCAUAGUAAAGGUAGUGUUUUGGUGAAGAAAUAGGAGAAUCACACGAAAUUAAGUUGUACCCUGGCUUUCACAGAAAUGAAAAGAAUACUGGCAGUUAAUGUCUCUGCUUUUCCUUUGGGUUUGAAUGUUUUCUUUCUGCUACUCUCUACAUGUGUAUCCCAUUCUCUUUCAG
rnacentral:lncRNA from 1 species